CAACCCUCAAGCCCAGCUUGGUGUUGGGAGCUGCAGUCCUGCUGCACUCCCCAAAUACAUUGGCGGUCACGUCGAGCUUCCAUAGCGUAGUAAUUUACAUAUCGUUACUGGUAAUCGUCGCGGCCACGCCGUUAAACCCCAACUUCUGAA
rnacentral:misc_RNA from 1 species